rnacentral:miRNA from 1 species
AUAUUUCGGAACUGAGUCUAGUUCCUUCGAUAUCAGUGUAAUCUACACUGAUAUCGAAGGAACUAGACUCAGUUCCUUCGAAG